UUCUAUAGCCAUGUCACCCUGAACGUCUCCAAUCUUGUCAAAUCUCGGAAGCUAAGCAGGGUAGGGCCUGGUUAGUACUUGGAUUGGAGAACACCUAGGAAUAACAGGUGCUGUAGGCG
ensembl:rRNA 5S_rRNA 5S ribosomal RNA